UGGGGAAUAUUGGACAAUGGGCGCAAGCCUGAUCCAGCCAUGCCGCGUGUGUGAUGAAGGCCUUAGGGUUGUAAAGCACUUUCGCCGAUGAAGAUAAUGACUGUAGUCGGAGAAGAAGCCCCGGCUAACUUCGUGCCAGCAGCCGCGGUAAUACGAAGGGGGCAAGCGUUGUUCGGAUUUACUGGGCGUAAAGCGUACGUAGGCGGAUGAUUAAGUCAGGGGUGAAAUCCCGGGGCUCAACCUCGGAACUGCCUUUGAUACUGGUCGUCUUGAGUCCGGGAGAGGUGAGUGGAACUCCUAGUGUAGAGGUGAAAUUCGUAGAUAUUAGGAAGAACACCAGUGGCGAAGGCGGCUCACUGGCCCGGAACUGACGCUGAGGUACGAAAGCGUGGGGAGCAAACAGGAUUAGAUACCCUGGUAGUCCACGCCGUAAACGAUGGAUGCUAGCCGUCGGGGAGCUUGCUCUUCGGUGGCGCAGCUAACGCAUUAAGCAUCCCGCCUGGGGAGUACGGUCGCAAGAUUAAAACUUAAA
rnacentral:rRNA from 1 species